rnacentral:rRNA from 1 species
AGAGUUUGAUCAUGGCUCAGAGCGAACGCUGGCGGCAUGCUUAACACAUGCAAGUCGCACGGGCAGGGGUAACUCUGUCAGUGGCGGACGGGUGAGUAACGCGUAGGUAUCUAUCCUCGGGUGGGGGACAACCACGGGAAACUGUGGCUAAUACCGCAUGAUGACUGAGGUCCAAAGGCGCAAGUCGCCUGGGGAGGAGCCUGCGUCCGAUUAGCUUGUUGGUGGGGUAACGGCCUAUCAAGGCUCCGAUCGGUAGCUGGUCUGAGAGGAUGAUCAGCCACACUGGGACUGAGACACGGCCCAGGCUCCUACGGGAGGCAGCAGUGGGGAAUAUUGGACAAUGGGCGAAAGCCUGAUCCAGCAAUGCCGCGUGGGUGAAGAAGGUCUUCGGAUUGUAAAGCCCUUUCGGCGGGGACGAUGAUGACGGUACCCGCAGAAGAAGCCCCGGCUAACUUCGUGCCAGCAGCCGCGGUAAUACGAAGGGGGCUAGCGUUGCUCGGAUUGACUGGGCGUAAAGGGCGCGUAGGCGGCUUGUACAGUCAGACGUGAAAUUCCUGGGCUCAACCUGGGGGCUGCGUUUGAUACGUAUGGGCUUGAGUUCGGAAGAGGGUCGUGGAAUUCCCAGUGUAGAGGUGAAAUUCGUAGAUAUUGGGAAGAACACCGGAGGCGAAGGCGGCGACCUGGUCCGAUACUGACGCUGAGGCGCGAAAGCGUGGGGAGCAAACAGGAUUAGAUACCCUGGUAGUCCACGCCGUAAACGAUGUGCGCUGGAUGUUGGGUGACAUAGUCAUUCAGUGUCGUAGCUAACGCGAUAAGCGCAC